rnacentral:sRNA from 1 species
GUCUGGCUUGACGAUCUGCUUUAUGAUCUCGU